UAAAGGCAUGGUCCCAACCUUAUUAUCAGCUUUAACUCAACUUACACAUGCAAGUCUCCGCAGCCCUGUGAGUAUGCCCUUAAUCCCCCACCCGGGGACGAGGAGCGAGCAUCAGGCACAAUUUUUAGCCCAAGACGCUUAGCCAAGCCACACCCCCAAGGGAAUUCAGCAGUGAUAAACAUUAAGCCAUAAGUGAAAACUUGACUCAGUUAGAGUUUAUGGGGCCGGUAAAACUCGUGCCAGCCACCGCGGUUAAACGAGAGGCCCAAGUUGAUAACAUCACGGCGUAAAGGGUGGUUAAGGAAAACAUUAAUUUUAAAGCCAAAUGGCCCCUUGGCCGUCAUACGUUUCUAGGAGCCCGAAGCCCAAUUUUUACGAAAGUAGCUUUAAUAAAGUCCACCUGACCCCACGAAAGCUGAGAAACAAACUGGGAUUAGAUACCCCACUAUGCUCAGCCAUAAACCUAGACAUAAUAAUACAAUUAAAUGUCCGCCUGGGUACUACGAGCAUCAGCUUGAAACCCAAAGGACCUGACGGUGCCUUAGACCCCCCUAGAGGAGCCUGUUCUAUAACCGAUAACCCCCGUUAAACCUCACCACUUCUAGCCAUCCCAGCCUAUAUACCGCCGUCGUCAGCUUACCCUGUGAAGGUAAUAAAAGUAAGCACAAUGGAUAUAAUUCAGAACGUCAGGUCGAGGUGUAGCGUACGAAGUGGGAAGAAAUGGGCUACAUUUUCUAUUGCAGAAUACUACGGAAACGCAACAUGAAAUGGUGCUUAAAGGAGGAUUUAGUAGUAAAAAGGAAACAGAGUGUCCUUUUGAACCCGGCUCUGAGGCGCGUACACACCGCCCGUCACUCUCCCCUGUCAACAUGCAACUAAAAUUCAUAAUACUAUAGCACUGACAAGGGGAGGCAAGUCGUAACAUGGUAAGUGUACCGGAAGGUGCACUUGGAUAAAA
rnacentral:ncRNA from 1 species